GAAACAAAGUGAUAAGUGGCUACACUUAUCUGAUCAGGGACAAGUGAUAAGUGAUCAUACGUAAGACCAUAGUUAUACUAUGGCAAAGUGAAAGUGAAGUACUCAAUUUUCCGUAACCGUUCCCUAAUUUGAUUAAGGAUGGUAAGUGACAAAUGGGCCCAAAUGAAUUAAAGUAAAUGAAUAAGUGGUAGUGUAUUUAUACCAGGAUGAUGUUGUUAUUUAAGCUAAAGUGAUAUUUUCAUUGCAAAAUUAAGAAUUUCAUAAAUGUGUUAUUGAAUGAUAUAAUCGAUAAACGUUGAGUUAAAUGGUAAAUACGUAUUAGUGUUAAACUUAGUGACAUUGAAUUGUACGUGAAUUAAAUGGAAAUUGCUAGUGAUAUGAUCUAAAUUGUGAGCAUGAGAAAUUGCGAAUUAAAUGAAAUGGAAAUGAAGCAUUGAAUUGUAUGAGUAUGUACCGGGUCUCGUAGGCCCUAAUUAUUAUGAUUAUAAUAUUUUGAGGAUAUAUUGUGAAAAGUUAUAGAAGCAUUCUAAUUAUUUUGAAAGUUUUAAUUUAGUUGAAAUUUUAUAACUCACUUAAAUACGUUUACAAGCGUAUGUGUUUUGGUAAUGCCUCGUACCCUAUUCCGGUGUUGGAUACGGGUAAGGGGUGUUACACUUCCUCCAUUUGGUGUUUGAACUCGAGGUUGCGACAUUGGUGACUUAGCAUCACGACCAUGGAGGUAGGUGUUGUGACAUCACUUGAUGUUGUGACUUUGAAGACAGGCCACUUGAAAUGCACCUUGUUAAAGUCCAACUCCUUGAGUGGUGAUGGAGGCAUUGGUGUUGCGACAUCAAGACAAUGUGAACAAAUUCGGAUACACGGGCAACUACACCACAUCAAAAAGCUUGUCUGAGCAGUAUCUACACCAUACCAGGGCAUCGAAGUGCAAAACCCAUAGCUAAUAAAGAAUUCGAGGUAUCGGCACAAAAAGGGAAGGAGAAGGUCGUUGAGGAAUAAUCGAGCAAAUUCGGGUUGAAAAAGGGGUCUGAGUCUUGGUUUAGCAUCCAGGUCAAUCCUGACUCCUGCAUAGAGAUUUCAGUGAUGUUUUCUUUCUUAAAUGAAAGUGGCAUGUACAUAAGAAUUAUAAUAGCUAUUUUGGUAUGUUAUAUAGUUUUGUUGUAAAGUAAGAUAUUAUGUGUUUUGAUGAUUAUAUUAGUAAAAUGGUAGAAGUCCUUUAUGGCAUUGGUAUCGAA